ACGACUACAGAGAGUUUGAUCCUGGCUCAGAGCGAACGCUGGCGGCAGGCCUAACACAUGCAAGUCGAACGAUCCUUCGGGAUAGUGGCGGACGGGUGAGUAACACGUGGGAACGUACCUUUUGGUUCGGGAUAACUAAGGGAAACUUUAGCUAAUACCGGAUGAGCCCUUAGGGGGAAAGAUUUAUCGCCGAAAGAGCGGCCCGCGUUAGAUUAGCUAGUUGGUGGGGUAAUGGCCCACCAAGGCUACGACCUAUAGCUGGUCUGAGAGGAUGAUCAGCCACACUGGGACUGAGACACGGCCCAGACUCCUACGGGAGGCAGCAGUGGGGAAUCUUGCGCAAUGGGCGAAAGCCUGACGCAGCCAUGCCGCGUGAAUGAUGAAGGUCUUAGGAUUGUAAAAUUCUUUUAGCAGGGACGAUAAUGACGGUACCUGCAGAAAAAAGCCCCGGCUAACUUCGUGCCAGCCGCCGCGGUAAU
rnacentral:rRNA from 1 species